rnacentral:hammerhead_ribozyme from 1 species
AUCCGGCUGACGAAUCUCACUCAGGAUGAAAUGAGCGUCCUGGAU